rnacentral:lncRNA from 1 species
GAAUUGAAAGAAAGGAAGACAGAGAAUCACCGUGACUCAGGGGAGAAGGAUGGGACAUAAGAGCUGCAGGAGAGAAAGCUGAUCGGCCAUGUAAGAAUUUGGGAUCCUCCUAUGGCUGGAUAGUCACUUUGCACUGCUGUUAUAAAAACACUAUUACCAAGGCGACUUAUAGAAAGAAGAUGGCUUAAGUUUCCCGGGGAAAGUCUGUAACAUCAGAAAGGCAUGGCUGUAGUCAUCUAGAACCACACACAAACUCAGAGAGAAACUACAUGUCGGGCAAGGUCAUAAGCUGUCAAAGCUCUCCCCACCAAGGGACGUGCUUCCUCCAGCAAUGCUGAACCUCCCCAGACACCACCACCAACUGGAGAUCAAGUGUUCAAAUAUCUGAGCUUUGCGGGGACAUUUCUCAUUUGAAACCCCCUCCCCAGAAGAGUCAUUCAGGAUGCCUUACAGUUUACAGGACAUGCUGUAAUCAAAGUAACUAUUAAAUGUUCCCAAGAUUUCUGAGACUUGCAAAGGACAUUUAAUAAAUAAAAAAAUGUACAGUGAAAUAAAAAAACAAUUAAGAAAAACACAUUGCAUUUGUAGGGAUCUCUCAGUUCAAGAAGAACUGAAUCUCCCGUCAGUCAGCUUCGUGUGAAGAUAACUAGAGGCUUCUGGGUUGACAUGAGAGGAUUUUAACAACCUUCCGAUUGCUAAAGAGUUUGACAUGACUUUAUGUCCAGGUCAUGAUGGCAUUUUAAUAGCAGCACAAGGUUUUCAAACAGGAGACACUGAAGGGCAGUUGCUCUCCUUUGGCACUAGAGGCCAGUCUGCAGCUAAUUAGCAGGUCAUAGGUGGAAGUGGACUGUGGCAGAACAACAAAACAUUGUUGUUAUCAGUUCACUGAACAGAUGGAAGAAAGGCAUUUCAAGUCAAGCCAAAUGGAGCUGAAGGUGACACAGUAUCAAAAUUAGACUGAAACUGGUGCAGAUGCACUGGAACCCAGGUCUGCUUUAAUUAUCCUUUUCUGUUCGCAUCUUAUUCUAUUCAUACAAUUUCCCUUUAGUAAAUUUAACCC